ensembl:lncRNA
GGACACUGGGAAGGGUGUGCUCUUGAAACUGGACGCAAAAUGGAAGAACACCUGCAACUAUUGUGAAAGUUCAACGUUUGGGCAAAAUUGGAAUUGGUGAAAGCAAACAAGCGCAAGUUAAAUGCGUUUGUCAAAUUCAGGACUGGCGCUGGAAGCUGUAGGUGGAGGGAAGACCAGGAAUGGUGCAGCUGCUGAAGGUGUGCCAAAGGGUCACGUGUGUUCCUGAAGGGACUGAGGCGACGCAGUCGGAGGUCCCUGUGGUGGCGGUCAGCGGGAGGUGUCAAGACCAACCAGCUCCUCGUCCAGGAAAGGGGAAUUCUUCAGACCGUUCUUCA